UCUUAUGAAGUUAGCGGCGGACGGGUGAGUAACACGUGGGUAACCUGCCCAUAAGACUGGGAUAACUCCGGGAAACCGGGGCUAAUACCGGAUAACAUUUUGAACCGCAUGGUUCGAAAUUGAAAGGCGGCUUCGGCUGUCACUUAUGGAUGGACCCGCGUCGCAUUAGCUAGUUGGUGAGGUAACGGCUCACCAAGGCAACGAUGCGUAGCCGACCUGAGAGGGUGAUCGGCCACACUGGGACUGAGACACGGCCCAGACUCCUACGGGAGGCAGCAGUAGGGAAUCUUCCGCAAUGGACGAAAGUCUGACGGAGCAACGCCGCGUGAGUGAUGAAGGCUUUCGGGUCGUAAAACUCUGUUGUUAGGGAAGAACAAGUGCUAGUUGAAUAAGCUGGCACCUUGACGGUACCUAACCAGAAAGCCACGGCUAACUACGUGCCAGCAGCCGCGGUAAUACGUAGGUGGCAAGCGUUAUCCGGAAUUAUUGGGCGUAAAGCGCGCGCAGGUGGUUUCUUAAGUCUGAUGUGAAAGCCCACGGCUCAACCGUGGAGGGUCAUUGGAAACUGGGAGA
rnacentral:rRNA from 1 species